AGUGGGGAAUUUUGCACAAUGGGGGAAACCCUGAUGCAGCGACGCCGCGUGAUUUAGAAGGCCUUCGGGUUGUAAAAAUCUUUUUUACGGGAUGAAAAUGACAGUACCGUAAGAAUAAGGUCCGGCUAAAUACGUGCCAGCAGCCGCGGUAAUACGUAUGGACCGAGCGUUGUCCGGAAUCAUUGGGCGUAAAGGGUACGUAGGCGGCCUAGUAAGUUAGAAGUUAAAGAAUAUAGCUCAACUAUAUAAAGCUUUUAAAACUGCUAGGCUUGAGAGAUGGAAGGGAAAGUGGAAUUCCUAGUGUAGCGGUGAAAUGCGCAGAUAUUAGGAAGAAUACCGGUGGCGAAGGCGACUUUCUGGUCAUCAUCUGACGCUGAGGUACGAAAGCGUGGGUAGCAAA
rnacentral:rRNA from 1 species